CACGUAGGCGGCUCUUUAAGUCAGGGGUGAAAUCCUGGAGCUCAACUCCAGAACUGCCCUUGAUACUGAGGAGCUUGAGUCCGGGAGAGGUGGGUGGAACUGCGAGUGUAGAGGUGAAAUUCGUAGAUAUUCGCAAGAACACCAGUGGCGAAGGCGGCUCACUGGCCCGGUACUGACGCUGAGGUGCGAAAGCGUGGGGAGCAAACA
rnacentral:rRNA from 1 species